AACGAACGCUGGAGGCAUGCCUAAUACAUGCAAGUCGAACGAGAAAGCUCUUCGGAGUGAGUAGAGUGGCGCACGGGUGCGUAACACGUAGGUGAUCUGCCUAGUAGAGGGGGACAACAGGGAGAAAUUCCUGCUAAUACCGCAUGAGAUCGUUAACUUUGGAAGGAAACGAUGAAAGGUGACCUCUGAUUUAAGUCAUCACUACUAGAGGAGCCUGCGGAGCAUUAGCUUGUUGGUGGGGUAAUGGCCUACCAAGGCGAUGAUGCUUAGCUGGUCUGAGAGGAUGAUCAGCCACACUGGGACUGAGACACGGCCCAG
rnacentral:rRNA from 1 species